AAGUCUUGACAUAUUUUGGAAGCACUUAGAGAUAAGUGCCUAUAUCUUCGGAUAACUGAAAUACAGGUGGUGCAUGGUUGUCGUCAGCUCGUGUCGUGAGAUGUUGGGUUAAGUCCCAUAACGAGCGCAACCCCUAUGGCUAGUUACCAUCAUUAAGUUGGGGACUCUAGCAAUACUGCCGGUGACAAACCGGAGGAAGGUGGGGAUGACGUCAAAUCAUCAUGCCCUUUAUGACUUGGGCUACACACGUGCUACAAUGGCAGGUACAGAGGGCAGCAAGACAGCGAUGUUAAGCAAAACUCAAAAAGCCUGUCCCAGUGCGGAUUGCACUCUGCAACUCGAGUGCAUGAAGUUGGAGUUGCUAGUAAUCGUGGAUCAGAAUGCCACGGUGAAUGCGUUCCCGGGUC
rnacentral:rRNA from 1 species